CUUGAAGGAAUACAAGGGGCCUGGUUAUGUGACAUUUUGAGACCAGUACUGCCAGUUCGGUGUACGGCCAAGGAAAAAUACGCUUAAUCAGAUGAUAGCGCAACAGAGCUGUGUUAUCUGAAGAGAAUCUGAUUGUUUCCUGUGGGGUGUGAAGUUCAGGCACUGGAGCAGUAAGGUUGAUGGGCCUCCCGUUACUGCCGGUAGUGCGAGGCCUGUGGAUGGGCGUGUCAGCACCAGGAAGACUCCGCUUCCCACUGGGAAAAAACAAAAAGGGCCCGCCCACACUCUGAUACAUAUCCCUGUUUUCAACAAUAAAAAAGUAUUAUUA